AUUUAUCUAGGGAUAUUUACUAGGCUGUUAUCUGGUAUAUAUUAGAAAAUUUUAAAAUAUAUAUUGGAACACAUCGAGUGUGUGUCACCUAGAUAUGAACUAUAUAUUGGUAAACAUGAUAUUUUGAAAAUUAUAGAUUAAUUACUUUGCCUUAGUUAUAUCGAUUUGCCUAGGUCAUUGAAAAAUAUAUAUCGAAGAAGCUUAAUAUAUCAAAAAUCUGUUGAGCAUGCGUCACUAGAUAUGUACUGUAUAUCAAUGAAUAUAAUAUUUUAAAAAUUAUAUAUCAAGUUACGAGGGGG
rnacentral:lncRNA from 1 species